rnacentral:tRNA from 1 species
GGGUCUGUAGUGUAGUGGUUAUUACGUGCGCCUCACACGUGCAAGGUCCCCGGUUCGCACCCGGGCGGACACA